UUCUUGGGGCCUCUUAAGAAUGAUUUGAUCUCAGAAGCUAAGCAGGGUCGGGCCUGGUUAGUACUUGGAUGGGAGACCACCUGGGAAGACCAGGUGCUAAGGUAU
rnacentral:rRNA from 1 species